AAGCGCUUGCAACCAGACUUGCACGCAGUUGAUCAUCCGGUGUUCUCACCGGGGCACUCUGCUGCGUUCAGGCCAGCAUCGGUUUCGGUGGUUGGAUAAAGGCCUUGGGAAUGUGGCUCCUCUUGGGGAGUGUUAUAGCCCUCGGUGCAAUGCAGCCUACCGGGACCGAGGACCGCGCUUCGGCUAGGAUGCUGGCGUAAUGGUUGUAAGCG
rnacentral:rRNA from 1 species